UCCCUGGUGGUCUAGUGGGCAGGACGCUAUGCUUUUACUGUGGUGGCCCAGGUUCGACCCCUGGUCGGGGAA